rnacentral:miRNA from 1 species
UUGUCUGUGGUUCGAGGGUG